rnacentral:lncRNA from 1 species
UCUUACUCUAAUUUUGGGAACUAAUUACAUUAUCCUACACAUGUUCUAGAUUUACAAUGGGACAGCAAUGGAAUCAAUAGCUAAUGAAACCUGUUUUAUGAAUCUAAAUAACAAAUUGUUAACUAAAGAGUUUAAACUACUGAUUACUUGACUUAAAACUUGAUAUGCAUUUCAAAUGGGUUAUAAGCGAAAUAAGCUGGAGGCGGCAGGACAUGGCUACUGCAUCAUGAGUUCUUUUCUAGCUAACAUACAUAAGAGAUUUGUUCACUAAACUACUUUCAAGGAUUCCAUUAUAUACAUACAGAAUACAACUAAGAUAAACGUAAAACUUCAGUUCUUCAUUUAUAUUUCAUGCUUCAAGUUCAGCCUACAAGUGUACUAGCGUAGCAAUGUCUACCUGGUAUUUGGAAAAGCAAAGAAAGAGAAGGAAGAUCAGUGAUGGCAGCAGUAGCACAAUGAACAAUGCAACAGAUUCAGCAACACCAGUAGUAGACCAUAAUAGUAGGAGGAGCAGAUUGAAAACCAAAUAGAAAGAAUCCAAGAACCAAUGCAACAGUGUUUAAAUCCCAACAGAAGAGCCUAGCAACACCAAAUGGAUAACAAUAGCUCCAGAAGAUAAAUACCAGCAGAAAACCCAAGAUAUAUCACAUUAAACACCCAGCAACAUUCUAGAUGCGCUCACAGUUAAGUGAAAAGUGAGGCUGAUGCAAGGACAAUAUUUCUAAUUGUAAAUACUCAAAGAAAACCCACUGAAACCUUUAAGCACAUCUCAACCUAUAUCACUCUUUAAUUCUGGAAAUUUAGUUCAACUCUCAACCUCACUCUCUAUCUAUUUCUCUGGGGGGGGGGGGGGGNNNNNNNNNNNNNNNNNNNNNNNNNNNNNNNNNNNNNNNNNNNNNNNNNNNNNNNNNNNNNNNNNNNNNNNNNNNNNNGAAUUUAACCUUCUCAUUUUUCAAAUGACUUCAAGAAAGAAUGGAAACAGUGGUUUUUUCUUCUGUUUUGAAUCUCUCUUUUCUGAUUUUCAAAAGACUUCAAGAAAGAAUGGAAACAAUGGUUUUUUAUUCUGCUUUGAAUCUCUCUUUUCUAAUUUUUCAAAAGACUUUCCUCAAAAACUCUCCUAAACUGUUCUGAAAAUAACUCUUAUAUAGCCAAAUUGAACCCUCCUUACACCCUGUUUUAAGCCAUUUAAAACUGACAAGAUCUCUAUUAUUCCUCUGUCUUUCCCACUCAAAAUUGUCUAGGUAUGGAACUUCCAAUUUUUAAACUUCUGAAAAUCAGAAAGUAGUGAAAAUCCUACUGCACAGCAGGUUCCACUACUAAUUCCAUGUGCAUUUUUAGCUUUUCAAUAUUAAAAUCAUCCUACAUCUGACUUUACUCCUAAAGAUGUCAGCCAGGGUGUAUAUGCACUAUGAUUACCUCCAAUGGCUCACACAUGCUCAAGCUGCAAUGCACUUAACUAUACUCUUUAAUUUCUAUAAGAAAUACAGUUAUAACAUUGCAAACAACUUAACUAAACUCUGAAAUUUCUAUUAGAAUUACAGCUAUAACCAAUUCAAUCUCCUAAAUUCACUUAUAACCAAUUCAGAUUUUAAUUCAAACCAGGAUUCGGACACAAAUUAACAGUAUCAAUGACACUACUGUCAACAUGAUCUAACAACCAAGUAUAUACAACCAAUCGACGACAUUUAUCUAAUCAAUUACUGCACACAUAACUAAUAACCGACACAAAACAGUGUGAUUCAUAGCAAUUUGGACAAAACAUGAGAUUAUGAAACUAAAUUUUCAACGAUAUUAAUUGAAUUGAAUAUGUACUCUAUGAUGAACACAUUAAAGAGAAACAAUCAAACGACCAAAUAAAAGGUCUUGUGGGGGAAGAACAGAAUCGGCCAAAAACUAAAACUAAAAAAAUCAAACAACCAAAACCAAACAAAGCAUAUAUUAAUAAAUAAAGUAAAAAAAAAGGAAGAAGAAGUACCUCCAACAAAAUAAAUCAGAAAUCAAACGGGCCAGGGCUUCAAACCGGGUUGACUAUUUUGAGGUCGAAUAGAGUUUAAUUGAAGUGUUCUCAACUGAGAACACCUCAAUUAAAUUCUAUUAGACCCUAAACCCUAAACUAUUGGACAGAAAUCUUCAUCUGGUCUUCCUAGGGUUCUUGAGGGCUCAGAUUGGGGUUCAAGGAGUUAGGGCUUGAUUCGAACCAAACCAACUAUGGUUUGGUGACGAGGGAGGCUAGGGAAGUGUUUGCGGUGAGUUUGGGGUCGGUUGGGAUGGUUUCGUAUUUUACUCGAAUCUUCGAUUGAAGAUUCGAGAAGCUACAACAUGAUUCGAAGUUAACGGGGCAUGGAUUCAUGAAAGAGGGGAGUUAGGAGGUUCAAGGGUAUUGAUUUGGCGGCGAAAUGAGCCGGCGCCGCCAGGUUUUCAGGCGAGGGGAGGGGUGGCGGCUAGGGUUCUUGGGGUGUGUUUGAGUCUCUUGAGAGAGACUAAGUAGAUGAUGGGGGUGUGCAAAUGAAGCGGGUUGAGGG